GGGCCAUUGCUAUUAUCAAGGAUAUGCUGCAGAGAUUCCAAAAUCAGCUGUGACACUUAGCACCUGUUCUGGACUCAGAGGAUUAUUGCAGUUGGAGAAUGUCAGUUAUGGAAUUGAACCAUUGGAGUCUGCAGCUAUGUAUGAACAUAUACUUUAUCAAAUAAAGAAUAAUGAAAUUGAUUUUUUUUUCUUUACAAGAAAAUGAUUCUACAAUCCAAGCUGCAAAUCAGCCCUAUAAGAUUCUUGUGAAGUCAGAA